rnacentral:rRNA from 1 species
GACGAACGCUGGCGGCGUGCUUAACACAUGCAAGUCGAACGGAGUGGCGAACGGGUGAGUAACACGUGGGUGACCUUCCCUGCACUUCGGGAUAAGCCUGGGAAACUGGGUCUAAUACCGGAUAGUGUGGGAUGGGCCCGCGGCCUAUCAGCUUGUGGGUGGGGUAAUGGCCUACCAAGGCGGCGACGGGUAGUCGACCUGGGAGGGUGGACGGCCACAAUAGGACUAAGGCAGGGACCAGGCUCGUACGGGAGGCAGGAGUGGGAAAUAUUGCACAGUCAGCGGAAGCCUGAUGCGGAGGCGCCGGGUGGGGGAUGCCGGCCUUCGGGUUGGAAACUCCUUUAACCAUCGACGCGGUAGAUGGAGAAGAAGCACCGGCUAACUACGUGCCAGCAGCCGCGGUAAUUC